UCUCAAAUAUCAUAGUCGGAUUUCCCACCUUCUUAAUACUGUUAAAAUAAAGAUUUCAUUUCAACAUGAGUUUUGGAGGGGACAAACAUUCGAACCAUAGCAGUAGAAUGCAAGAGGAGAGAGAGAAAUUGAAAAAGAAAUUGUCAGGCAGAAAGGAACUUGAAUGUGAAGAUUAAAAAAAAAAUUCACAGCCUAUCCAAUACUGCAAAAUUUGAGAAUGUGCUCUGGUGACAAGACAAAGGGUGUGGCUAGACAAUCAUGCCACAAAGAGAUCAUGGGUGUGACUCACUGACCUAAUCAGCCAUCUCAGCAGAAGCCAGAAAUAGAGAUACCAGCAGAAACACGGCCAGCUGGGACUAAAGAGGACAGAGACUGGACAAAAUGAAAGAAGACUGCAGGACUUCUGGGAUUCAACAGGACAAGACAACAGAGCUUUCUGGCUGUGUAUAUGCAUUAUACUUCAAGAAAAAGGAAGAAUAAUCCCAAAGGUUUUGGAGUACAUGUGAAGAACAUGCAAGAUUGUUGCAUAGGUACACACAUGGCAAUGUGAUUUGCUGCCUCCAUCCCCAUCACCUAUAUCUGGCAUUUCUCCCCAUGCUAUCUCUCCCCAACUCCCUACCCCACGCUGUCCCUCCCCUAUUUCCCCAACAGACCUCAGUGUGUGAUGCUCCCCUCCCUGUGUCCAUGUGUUCUCAUUGUUCAACACCUGCCUAUGAGUGAGAACAUGUGGUGUUUGAUUUUCUGUUCUUGUGUCAGCUUGCUGAGAAUGAUGGUUUCCAGGUUCAUUUAUGUCCCUACAAAGGACAUGAACUCAUCGUUUUUUUUAUGGCUGCAUAAUAUUCCAUGAUAUAUAUGUGUCUGUGGUAUUUUGCUAUGGCAGCUUAAGAGAAGGUGACUGUGGGGCCAGUGACAGGGUCUGUGUGGUAAGUUAUGGGGUCUUGGGAGGUCAGUGAUGGAGGUUUGUGAGGUCAGAGGUGGGAGGUCUAUAUGAGGCCGAUGGGGGUCUGUGGGGUCAUAGGGCAUCUCUGGGGUUAGUAAUUAAAGAUCACUCAGUAUUAGAGU